CGACGAUAUAUAUUUUUCACAUUCUCUAUUAAUAAAAGUAAUAUGUUAUCCCAUGUUUUUAAUUUUAGGUUAUCUACGCAAGUAACCUAUAAUGUAUUAGUUUUAAUCUUACGAGGAAUCUAUGAACUAAAUACUUACUGUACAUCUGCUGUAUGAUCCAAAUCUGAAAAAUAAAACGGGGUAUUACAAAAUCUUCUUCGCUCAACUCGUCCAUGAUUGCGCACAGCUGAUCUCACGUAUGUGAAUAACCGAUCAGCUGAUUCUCUGACAGGUUUAAUCAAUGGCGGCCCCAGUUGUACGUACACAAGGUUGUACUAUGUAGAUGGCGCUAAGUAAAAGGAUGCUCAUGAUCUAGAUUACCGAUUGAGUGAAAUCGAUUAAUGUUUUUUUACAAGAUGAUAAGACAGAUUAAUAAUAAUUGAUAAAAAAUGAUAAUAGUA